rnacentral:rRNA from 1 species
CACGUAGGGGCGAGCGUUGUCCGGAAUUACUGGGCGUAAAGGGCGCGCAGGCUGUUAUGCGAGUCUGCUGUGAAAUGUACCGGCUCAACCGGUGCCUUGCGGCGGAUACUGCAUAGCUGGAGUACUGGAGAGGGAAGUGGAAUUCCCGGUGUAGCGGUGAAAUGCGCAGAUAUCAGGAGGAACACCGAUGGCGAAGGCAGGUCUCUGGGCCACUACUGACGCUGAGAAGCGAAAGCAUGGGGAGCGAACA